UGUGUCGCGCUGUCGGACCCAUGGAAACGGUCGGACCUGGAACUGAGUGGGAGACGUUAGCAUGGACGUAAAUGAGCUGUUAUCCCUAAAAAAUGACUUGACUGAUGCAGAAUGCGCACCGACAUCUGAAGCUUUGCUAGUUAUGCUGCAAAAGCAACAAGGUAUCCAGGGAUGCAGCAGUCAGGACCAGCUUUGUGACAAACCACAAAAUCGCCAAAACAAGGAAAGGCCAAGGUUAGCACUGUCAGCGAGAGCAGCACUGAUGAAGCAGGACCAGGACCCAGAAGAAGAGACAUGACAGGUGCACUAUUGUUAAGUCCAGUCAUGGUGGUGAUGAGGAGGAAAAUGAUGAAGAGGAGGAGGACAGGCAGGAGGAGUAUGGAGCAGGAGGAACCAGCACAGAUACAGU